rnacentral:rRNA from 1 species
GACGAACGCUGGCGGCGUGCUUAACACAUGCAAGUCGAACGGAAAGGCCCUGCUUUUGUGGGGUGCUCGAGUGGCGAACGGGUGAGUAACACGUGAGUAACAUGCCCUUGACUUUGGGAUAACUUCAGGAAACUGGGGCUAUUACCGGAUAGGAGCUCCUGCUGCAUGGGGGGGGUUGGAAAGUUUCGGCGGUUCGGGAUGGACUCGCGGCUUACCAGCUUGUUGGUGGGGUAGUGGCUUACCAAGGCUUUGACGGGUAGCCGACCUGGGAGGGUGGCCGGCCACAUUGCGACUGCGGUACGGCCCAGACUCCUACGGGAGGCAGCAGUGGGGAAUAUUGCAGAAUAAGCGGAAGCCUGAUGCGGCAACGCCGCGUGCGGGAUGACGGCCUUCGAGUUGUAAACCGCUUUCGCCUGUGACGAAGCGUGAGUGACGGUAAUGGGUAAAGAAGCACCGGCUAACUACGUG